rnacentral:rRNA from 1 species
AUUGAACGCUGGCGGCAGGCCUAACACAUGCAAGUCGAGCGUGAAAGCACUUCGGUGUGAGUAGAGCGGCGGACGGGUGAGUAACGCGUAGGAAUCUACCUAGUAGUGGGGGACAACUCGAGGAAACUCGAGCUAAUACCGCAUACGCCCUAAGGGGGAAAGCGGGGGAUCUUCGGACCUCGCGCUAUUGGAUGAGCCUGCGUCGGAUUAGCUAGUUGGUGGGGUAAAGGCCCACCAAGGCGACGAUCCGUAGCUGGUCUGAGAGGAUGAUCAGCCACACUGGGACUGAGACACGGCCCAG